rnacentral:rRNA from 1 species
AGACUUUGAUCCUGGCUCAGAAUGAACGCUGGCGGCGUGCUUUACACAUGCAAGUCGAACGAGAACGUCACUUCGGUGACUAGUACAGUGGCGAACGGGUGAGUAACACGUGGACAACCUGCCUAGGAGCGGGGGAUAACCCGGGGAAACCUGGACUAAUACCGCAUACGCUUUCCGGCCUUCGGGCCGGUUCGGAAAGGCGGCGUUCUUCGGAGCGCUGUCACUCCUAGAGGGGUCCGCGUCUGAUUAGCUUGUUGGUGGGGUAAUGGCCUACCAAGGCGACGAUCAGUAGCCGGCCUGAGAGGGCGAUCGGCCACACUGGAACUGAGACACGGUCCAGACUCCUACGGGAGGCAGCAGUGGGGAAUAUUGCGCAAUGGGGGAAACCCUGACGCAACAACGCCCGCGUGGAGGAUGAAAGCCUUCNGGUCGUAAACUCCUGUCAGAUGGGACGAAACAAGUGUCGGUUAAUACCCCGCGCCCUUGACGGUACCAUCANAAGAACCCCGCUUACUUCCUGCCAACACCCGCNGUAAUACCGANGGGGCAA